UCACAGCAACUGGGAAGGUAGGGCUCAUGAGGUGGGGUGUCCAGGUCCCCCUGAGCCCACCUGGCAAGGUCUGGGGCAUUUGUGCUCCUGGCCUCCAACGAGAAAAGGCCACCCACUGUGCCCAACAUCCAACAAUGCAGAGUGGCAUCCCAGGACAAAGAAACUCACUGGCUCCAGGUGUCUGCAGGGACGAGAGCAGCACAUCCUGAUGGCUCCCACCUCCAGUCCUGGACAACCGGAGCCUACUCCCGGCCCUGGAGGGCACUGUGGACUGGACACUGAGCUCAGUCUUGGGCAAAGGAUGACCUGUAUGGCCUGGGCCUGGGAGAUGCUCCUGAAGCUCUGAACAUCACAGAACCUGUAGACCACAGCCAACAUGACAGGCACGGGGAGCAGGGCCAGCAGCACCACCAGCGCCG